CAUUGGUACCGAGGCAACAGAUGAAGAUAGUUCCAAAAAUCCUAUAAAAACCGCAGACUGGAACUACUAUGAAAAGGACAAAUUUGCAGCGUAUGGAGAGCGGCUUAGUUUGCGAGCAAAAUGUGCAAUGAAAUACCGUACAUGCAGAAGAUUAGCACUAUAUGACUAUGUGACAGGACAAUAUGACAAACAUUGCUGUUGGCCGUUUCUGCGAGAACCCUGGCUGCCCAGAAGGAUAGAUGUUUCUAAUCCUGUCGAAUCUGCUGGAAUAAGAAGAAUGACAUAAGAACGAUUAACUAAAUUUUAUACGGAUUGUUCAAAACAUAUUGGUAAUAUAAAAGAUCAAUUGAAAAUAAGUUUUUCGAAAAAAAAACAGAGCACUUAAACAAGUUAAGCAAUAAAACUUUUAAUAGUAGCAUUUUUUAUAAUUUCAGGACAUUCCUGAAUAUGACAUUAUUUGUCGAUUACAAUUGUAAUCGUAACUUGCACUUCACUACAGAAAAUUGACAGGAUAUAGCUAUCUUAAGUUGCAUUCUAAAGGUUUGAAACUGUAGGUUUACAAUCAAACAAUCAUGUCGAACACAAAUGCAUUUGCUCAGUUUAGAAAAGCUAUACCAGUUGUAUAGACCUGAGAUUUUUCGGAGUUGAAACGAAUAAAAUCCGUUAUAUGCCAAAUUGAACGAAUGGUCGAAUAUCCAUGUCAGAAUUCGAACUGUUCACUGGCAAAAAUUGAAUUUGCAUCUAUGUGAAUAACAGGACAUUUGUUAAUUCGUUGAACGUUUUUGGUAUGGUUACUUCAAGCUUGAGAUUAUCCCUCCAUUUCACCGAAAUUUUUCAUCAGAUCACUUCUACUCAUACCUACAAAAAGUUUCACAAUCGUUAUGUGAUUUCAGCAAAAAUAUGUGAAAUCAAACGGCAAAACAUCUGUUGAAUAAGUCCCAUCGCACUGCCCUGCGAAUGAAACUUUUGCCGUGCAGAAAUUGAAAAGCCAUGCUCGCAGAAUCCGAAGGAGGAGAAACAUAUUUUCCCAAACUUGACACAAAGUAAUAAAUGGAAUAAUCUGUUUGCGAUAAA